AUGUUCCACUGGAAGUGCUCAGCUCUCAUUCUGUUGGUUCUGCAAUGGGCUGCUGGUUCUCGGGCUGAUUCGUGUCAGGCUCCUGAGAGGACAUGUGACUUUGUGUGUGACUGCAGCAACUGCAACGAUGAACACAACUGUGGUAAAUUCCAAAGUGUUUCUUCACUCAGACACAAAAGUGCUACUGAACCUACAGUAUAUGUCUCAUUUGAUUAUAACAACAUUACUACUUUUGCUUGCCUACACAGAUCAUAAGGCACAAGUAGCUCUAUUUUGUAAUGUUUUCAUUAACUGCCAUUUAUUGUUUCUCUCUUGAAACCUUAAGGUUACAGUGAAAAAGGGUUUAAGUGUGACUUUGAGGAAGCGGGAAUGUGUGGAUGGACUGACCAGUCCUUCAGUCCAUACAGCUGGGAGAGACAUCAGCGAGGGGACAUGCUGCCUGACAGCGGGCCAUCUUCUGACUACACCACUGGGACAGCUACAGGUAGUUUAAUAGAUAUUUAAAUAGAUUUAAUUAAUUUGAUGAAAUAUACAUUUCCUCUAUCCUUUUAUGCUUUUAGAUUACAGUAAUAUAAGUAGUGUACAGUAAAAGUUUCAAGAUGUAUAGUGGGUUGCUUAACUAUUGUGCUGCUAUAGAGCAUCAGCAUGGGCUUAUAAUUUCUUAUUAAGUUAGUUAAAACCCAGAUAGCAAUUGAAUGAAUUAAUAAUAAUUAUUAUUAAUAAUAAUAUUUUACUUUGAUAAAACCAAUAAGUCUCUAAUGUCAUAAGUUCUCGUUGCAGUGUCAUUGACCUUUGUCGUAUGACAUGACGCUAUGGACUCAGAUCUACGGCCCAAUAUUGCUGCAACCUGUUUGUUCUUCCACACUUUGACUCUGAUUGAAACUGUACUAGUGACCACCAAGUUUUUUGACCACUUUUAAUGUUUGCAUGAGACCAGUUAAACCAGUAAGAUGCUUUCAUGUUGCCAAAACGUGAUUAUUAGAGCCAAAGCCUUUAAACAAAAGCCUACUCCUGCCUUAUUUUAAAUACAUUGAGCCCUGCCUUUGUAUAUUUACAGAUGUAAGAAAUAUCCAGUCCAUCUGAUCUUUGUCUGUUCCUGCCUAAGACCAGUACAACUAGUAGCAUGCUGGUUUUAUGUUGCCACAAAGUGAUUAAAGCCAAUAUGUUUACUGAAAGCUUAUUUCUCCCUUAUUUUAAGUUCACAGAGCUCUGCUGGGUUAUAUUAAUAGAUUUAAUAAGCAUCCAGGUCAUCUUA
rnacentral:lncRNA from 1 species